AUUCUAAUUUUAGUCUAAAACGGAUUUAUUGUUUUUUAUCAUUUUUAAAGGAAAUAACCAUACCCAUAGUAAAAGUAUUGAUUUGGGAUUAAGACUAUAUAGAGAGUACCUUGAGGGAAUAUAAUAAUUAAAUUUAAUAAAGAAGCUUUUAGCGUACCUUUUGCAUAAUGGUUAUAAGAGUUGUUUAGUUGUUGUUAACAAUACCCGAAGCUGUGUGAUCUAUAAUCUUUUUCUUGUUAGUAGAAUUUCUUUUACUGUUGCAGUAGUAAAUAAAUAAGAGAUUAUAGUGGUUAUAUGCCAAUCGUACACGGAAAUAACUGGUUCCUAGAAAAAUUGUUUUAAGACAUACAGAGUUUUUAUGGCUUUGUUUAAAAUAAAGGGGAUAAGCUCUUUAUUUUUAGGAAACAACCUAAUAGUUAGGAAAAGUUAUUAUAAAAAGUGUGAAUUUUAUUCUGUAGGCUUAGUAGCAGCCAUCAUAUGUAAUAGCGUUAAAGCUUGUUAGCUUUCACUGGUUAAUACUAUAUAUAAUUUAAUUGUACCUCCUUUAAACUAUCUAGGUACCUUUUUAAAGGUAGAUAAUUUUUAAAUUAGUAGAAAAGUCUUAUUUUGUUGUUUAAACAGUUUCUAAUUUAUAGAUAGAUAAAAAUUUCGAGAGUGGUUAUCUAUAUUACUGUCUACUAACUCAAGUGAGAAUAAAAUUAAUAACUAAGGAAAAGGAAUUCGGCAAAAUUUUACUUCGACUGUUUACUAAAAACAUAGUCUCUUGUUUUUCAUAAGAGGUGGUCCCUGCCCAGUGAUAAGAAAUACUUAUUAAACGGCCGCGGUAUCCUGACCGUGCAAAGGUAGCAUAAUCAAUUGGCCUUUAAAUGGGGUCUGGAAUGAAUGGGUUUACGGAGUUAAGCUGUCUCUUUUUUAGGAGUUUAAAAUUUAAUUAAGAGUGCAGAUGCUUUUAUAUUUUCGUGGGACGAGAAGACCCUGUCGAGCUUUAGUUCUUUAUAUGGAUAAACAUGUGCGAAAUAGGGAUCUUUUAUUUUUUACUUUGUUGGACUUUGGUUGGGGCAACCGUGAAAGAAAUAUAUCUUUCAUAUAUUACUAAGGAUUAUUAUCCUCAAAGAAAAAAGACCCAUUAAUUAAUGGUAAUUAGAGAAAGUUACCGCAGGGAUAACAGCGUUAUUCUUCUUGAGAGUUCACAUUGACAGAAGAGUUUGCGACCUCGAUGUUGGAUUAGGGUGUCCUAAGGGUGUAGCAGCUUUUAAGGGUUGGAUUGUUCAUCCAUUAAAACCUUACAUGAUCUGAGUUUAGACCGGCGUGAGCCAGGUCAGAUUCUAUCUACGAUUGGUUGAUCUUUAGUACGAAAGGAAUGAGGUCAUAUUAUCAAUGGUUAAUACUAAAUAUAUUUGAUUGA
rnacentral:rRNA from 1 species